rnacentral:misc_RNA from 1 species
GGAUGGGAUGCUUUUCCAGUAUAGCUGCUCAAGCAGGUUUUCUUGCAUUUCUUCAAUUUGGGAAGACUGUUGCAGAAAGUAAAAAAGACCCGAUCAAGCUUUUGAAGUUGCUGGAUAUAUUCGCAUCUCUAAACAAGUUAAGGCUGGAUUUUAACAGGCUCUUUGGUGGAGCAGCCUGUAUUGAGAUCCAAAACCUUACAAGGGACCUCAUUAAGAGGGUGAUUGAUGGGGCAUCCGAGAUUUUCUGGGAACUUUUGGUUCAGGUGGAGUUGCAGAGGCAGAUUCCUCCUCCUCCAGAUGGGGGUGUGCCGAGACUAGUAAGCUUUAUCACUGAUUACUGUAAUAAGCUUCUUGGGGAUGACUAUAAGCCCAUUCUGACCCAGGUUCUGAUCAUUCAUCGAAGUUGGAAGCACGAGAGGUUUCAGGAGAGACUCCUUGUUACUGAGGUACUGAAUGUAAUAAAAGCCAUUGAGCUCAAUGUGGAGACUUGGACAAAGGCUUACGAAGACACCAUCCUAUCUAACCUUUUUGCUAUGAACAACCACUAUCAUUUGNNNNNNNNNNNNGAGAUCUCUUGGGAGAUUCUUGGUUAAGAGAACAUGAGCAGUACAAGGACUAUUAUGCCACGAUCUUCUUAAGAGACAGUUGGGGGAAGCUUCCCAGUCAUCUAAGUCGGGAAGGUCUUAUUCUUUUCUCAGGUGGGCGUGCCACUGCUCGUGAUCUUGUCAAGAAAAGGCUGAAGACUUUCAAUGAAGCUUUUGAUGAAAUGUACAGGAAGCAGUCAAACUGGGUUAUGCCCGAGAGAGACCUCAGGGAGAAGACAUGCCAAUUGAUAGUGCAAGCGGUUGUUCCUGUUUAUCGAAGUUAUAUGCAGAACUAUGGGCCCUUGGUUGAGCAGGAUGGAAGUUCAAGUAAAUAUGCAAAAUACUCCGUGCAGGCCUUGGAGCAAAUGCUUGCCUCUCUAUUUCAACCCAAGCCAGGAAGAUAUGGAAGUUUCAAAGGCAGGCAGCCUAGUGAGAAAUUCAACAAUGGGGUUGCAGAUCUUCGUCGUACAGCAUCUGCGGUUGUGUGAUAGUUCAGCUGUUACCGCCUUAUGAUGAUAAGCCUGGAAGGGAACCAUAUCCAAACAUCCCCUUCUGCAGUUACAUGUCAAUUCUUGUUUUGUACAUAUUGACAUCCUUGAGGGCUUUGGAACUGUUGUUCUGCAAAAUCAAUGAGAUCUUGAGGAGCUUGGGGCAUUAAGGUGAUAGCUUACUUUGGCCUUACCUAGGGACGUAGAUAAUACUUGGAGGUAUAGGUAAUAAAUUUACUUUCAUUUUUUUACUCAU